rnacentral:lncRNA from 1 species
CGCUUCAUAGCUGUCGAGAGCAGCUUGAAGUAUGCUACGACGAUGGUUGUCACUACACAAAGCAACAGCGAUCAUCGCCAUUGUUGAAGGUUUUAGCGUCGGGAGCUGCUGCUAUUGUAACCACAGCGCCGACUGCAAAAUGCAGCGUCAAAACUAUUGCGACGACAGCAAAUGCCCUGCAACAGUAGCUCACGACACUGCUGCCAUACAUGCGGUGAGCCAUAUCGCCAGAUGCGGUGCCUGUAAUCGACGUCGUGCCGCAAAGAGAAAAUGGGUGAAGUUCUUAGGGAUUUCUGUAAUCGGGAUGUUGAUUGGAGACGGGGGCCUCAAAUGCAAAUUGAUAAUUUGUAGACCCUUGCCUGCAAUUUAAUUUCUAGGGUCAAGUUGUGAUAUUCAAUUAAAG